GGUUCAUAAGUUGAUAUUAACAAAAUACCCAAUUUCUCGAGUUACAUAAUAUCAUGGUGCCUAAACGUUUUUUUACGAGGACCCAUCCUCACUUACCAACUUGAACUUGCAUCGGAAGGUUCCCCAUCAAUAAUGAAGAAAUGCGAAUUCUAAAUACAUCCCUAAAUAUGAAGAGUUGUUCCUUUAAAUUGAGUAAAAGACUUAGUUUGAUACACUCUAGUGUGUCCAAUCUGGUUAACCAAGUAAAUAUGGAAAGUGUGCAAGACCAAAGCUUGCGUUCGGUUCUGUCUAUUGACACCAAGCCUAGGCUAGAAGGGACUUCAUGAUCAUUUAAUGGAAUGCUCAAAACCCAUACUAGUUGUUCAGGAAUCUUUUUGAAUCAAAGCAAGCUAACAUGUGUGAUGCUUUAGAGAAAUAUUUUUGCACAAUGCAAUGUUGCAUGAAUCACGAGUGAUGAAAGCUUUCUUCAUUUCCUCGUCUGGUUAUAUAUUGGACUUUGUGAUGCUUUAUUCAUUGAAGUAUCUAUUAUUCCUUGCACUAAUGAUAACAUUGAGCAACAAACCUGGAUUAUUAAUGAGAUUAGAUUGUUAUACAUGGUAGCUGCUGCAGUUCCGCUUUUAUAUGCAAUUUGCAUGUACAAGGAUUAUGAAAUAUUAAACCAUAGGAUGCUGCUAACUCUAAUGGACAGAAUAAGCAAUAUGAAAAUGCAAAAUGGAGCAUGGCUAUAUGGAUUAAUUCAAGUGACAUCAAGUGACCCUGAACCCUUUGCUUAUGACUUUGACAGAAGCAUUAUUCUGAAUGAUUGGUAUCACCAGAGUACUAAUGAAUAAACCAUUGGAUUGUCUUCAAAUCCUUUUGUAUGGUUGAGGAGACCACAGUCAUAUGAUUACAUCUGAAAAGGAUAAGAUAAAGCCAAAGUAUCCCCUGUUAGUUACACAUUCUUAACAUAAAUGGCAGUGUUAUAGAGAAAACAAUCAUGAAAUAAUUAAAAGAGAAUCAAAGGGAGUGAUCCAGCCGUGGGGUUAUCAACAGGCAGAAGUUCAAAGGUGGCAGUGUAAAACAUACACCAGAAAUCCUACCUCAUUUCAGUUACGUUUGAGAAAAGUCAGCCAUGAAUGUGCAUAAAAGAGAUGCAUGGUAGUGUUAUUGCUAUAUCAGUUACAGUUAGCAUAAUGGCUAGCAGUUAUUUGGGGCAUCCUAACAGGUGCUCUGAAUCAGCUACAAGACUCAGAACCAGCUAUAAAAGAAGGGCAAUCACGCAUACAAAAAGGAGGCAAAGAUAGAGAACAUAGAGAAUAACAAUUUGAUACAGAGAGUUCACAUUAGCAUAUAACACAACACCAAGCACCUAUAUCCAAAGAGAAACCUACAUACAUUCGAGCAAAAGCUAUCCGAAAAUAGAGUUACAUUACUCAGAGGGGCAUAACAAAAAUCAGAGAUACAACACAGAGCAUACACUCAGAAUACCAGGAUAACCACACAAUCAUUUCUCAUGGAUUGGCUUCUCUAUGCGACGGCGUCCCACUAUCAUAUCAUCACCGAAUCAAUGCAAACCGAAUCAUGCCUAGACCAAGUAGAAAAGUAAAAAGAGAUGAGUGAUAAAAGAUGAAUAGAUUAGGGAGAAAGAUUACCCUUUGCCUCAAACCACCGUGGCAAUAGGUGUUCCCAACCUUGAUUCUGCUUUCAUCGCGAACCACCAUACCGCUUUCAUUCUCCCUCAAUGUACCUAUUUAAUAAAACCAAGCAGCAACCAAAAACCAAUCAAGUAAAAUCGAAAAGUAGAAAAGGAGAUGAAUUCACCUUCAUCGGAACGAAAAGAGGAAGGGAUGUCCCAACCGCGAAUAAACCCCUCACCCGAGAACCGUCACAACCCUAAUAGCAAGCCAUCACCGUCAUGCCAUCCUGUCGUCGUCUCGCCACCACCGUAAAGGCACCUCCGUAGUCGUCGAUUAGAAAGAAGGGAAGAAAAGAGGAAUUAGGGAUAUCUUCCGAAACGAACACGGAGUAAUAAAGAGUAACCAUGCACCCUUUGGCUAAAAUCGGUUUCAUCCGAGAGUGAUUCCCUUUGCUGAGAGCUAUGAGGACGAAGGGGAACAUUGAAGAAGAUGGUGAAGUAUCAGGGACGUGUGGAUUUUAGGCUCAAGCAAGGAAUUAGGGAUUCAAAUCCCUUUUCCUUUAAACUCACGUAUGCCUUGCCUUUUUUCUUCUAG
rnacentral:lncRNA from 1 species